rnacentral:rRNA from 1 species
AGUCGAGCGGACAGAAGGGAGCUUGCUCCCGGAUGUUAGCGGCGGACGGGUGAGUAACACGUGGGUAACCUGCCUGUAAGACUGGGAUAACUCCGGGAAACCGGAGCUAAUACCGGAUAGUUCCUUGAACCGCAUGGUUCAAGGAUGAAAGACGGUUUCGGCUGUCACUUACAGAUGGACCCGCGGCGCAUUAGCUAGUUGGUGAGGUAACGGCUCACCAAGGCGACGAUGCGUAGCCGACCUGAGAGGGUGAUCGGCCACACUGGGACUGAGACACGGCCCAGACUCCUACGGGAGGCAGCAGUAGGGAAUCUUCCGCAAUGGACGAAAGUCUGACGGAGCAACGCCGCGUGAGUGAUGAAGGUUUUCGGAUCGUAAAGCUCUGUUGUUAGGGAAGAACAAGUGCAAGAGUAACUGCUUGCACCUUGACGGUACCUAACCAGAAAGCCACGGCUAACUACGUGCCAGCAGCCGCGGUAAUACGUAGGUGGCAAGCGUUGUCCGGAAUUAUUGGGCGUAAAGGGCUCGCAGGCGGUUUCUUAAGUCUGAUGUGAAAGCCCCCGGCUCAACCGGGGAGGGUCAUUGGAAACUGGGAAACUUGAGUGCAGAAGAGGAGAGUGGAAUUCCACGUGUAGCGGUGAAAUGCGUAGAGAUGUGGAGGAACACCAGUGGCGAAGGCGACUCUCUGGUCUGUAACUGACGCUGAGGAGCGAAAGCGUGGGGAGCGAACAGG